rnacentral:rRNA from 1 species
UGGGGAAUAUUGGACAAUGGGGGCAACCCUGAUCCAGCAAUGCCGCGUGUGUGAAGAAGGCCUUCGGGUUGUAAAGCACUUUUAUCGGGAACGAAACGUUGUCGGUUAAUACCCGGCAAAACUGACGGUACCCGAGGAAUAAGCACCGGCUAACUCCGUGCCAGCAGCCGCGGUAAUACGGAGGGUGCAAGCGUUAAUCGGAAUUACUGGGCGUAAAGCGUGCGCAGGCGGUUGUGCAAGACAGAUGUGAAAUCCCCGGGCUCAACCUGGGAAUUGCAUUUGUGACUGCACGGCUAGAGUGUGUCAGAGGGGGGUAGAAUUCCACGUGUAGCAGUGAAAUGCGUAGAGAUGUGGAGGAAUACCGAUGGCGAAGGCAGCCCCCUGGGAUAACACUGACGCUCAUGCACGAAAGCGUGGGGAGCAAAC